AUGGGGAACCAGUUGGCCCUAACCUUCUCGUUGGCACCCACGGCGUUCAUGCCCAACGAGAACAUAUGUUCAGGGGAGGGAAUAUUUUUAGAUGAUGAAGAUGAUGAGGAGGAUGGCGUGCCCCCUGCUGUCCAUGCACCAUCUGUAGCUGUUCCUACACCUACUACUACUGCUGCUACAGUUGAUCACCCUCAGGAGACUACCUCGACUACUCAAGUACUCCGCUUCCUAGCACUGGCAGCGACAACCACGCCACCAACCAAACUUAACUGCGCAUUCGCAAUCUUGGCGGACGCGGGUGUGACGGGGGUGGCGGCGAAGCUGGGCGAGCUAGCGGCAGCGGAGGCGACGGCAAUGCUCCGGGUGCACGCCGAGAUCCGAUCCCUACGCCGGAAGCUGGCCUAUCUGCAGGCUCUAGUCCGCGGGGCCGACCGCGUUCGCCGCGGCCGCGCCAACGAGCUGCUGCUGCUGUGGCUGCGCGAGACACGGGAGGUGGCCUUCGAGGUCGAGGACGCCGUCGACGAGUUCCACCUCCGCGUCGAGACCUUCCACCUCAGUGCCAAGGGCCGCCGCGGCUGGUGGCACCGCGUGGCCUUCAACCUAGUCCAAGGACUCGCCACUCAGAUUGUUGUGCGUCAUGGGCUGUCAAAUCAGAUACUGAAGAUCAAUGAAAGGAUCGAUGAACUCAAUCAGAACAAGGAAACAUAUGCCAUUGAGAGUUUUCCUUCUGAAACAUGGAAUUCAUCAUCAACUGUUUCUGAUCAUGAGUGGUACGAGGAUGGAUAUGUUGCAGACUCCAGACAAAGUGAAUUUGCAACCCUCAAAGACCAAAUCAUUAACAAAGAGACAAAUGUUUCUCACCGUGCUGUCCUCUCAAUUUUGGGAUAGUGUAGCAUUGGAAAGAAAACACUUGCAAGGAAGCUGUACAAUGACCCUGAUAUUACGAGACACUUUGAGCUGCAUGCAUGGGUAUGUCUUCCACCACACAUCAGGUUUACAGACUAUGUAGAGAUUAUGUACAAGCAGGUCAACUCAGAGGUCCCAGAAGCAUCUGAACGAGUUGAUAAUGUAUCGUUGGCACCUGGUGAGGGAGAAACCACCAGUAAAGAGCGCAAACUUCGACAACAAAUGCAGAACAGGUGGUACCUAGUUGUUCUUGAUGGUUUUGUCUAUAUCAAUGAUUGGAACUCUUUGGUCGAUGUCCUUCCAGAUGACAACAAUGGCAGUCGUAUCUUGCUUACGACACGCCUAAAUCUGAAGGAAAUCAAUCAUAUGGACCCAUGACUUGCUCCCGUUGAGUUGCAUUGUCUUGAAACCAUACAUGGUCAACAGUUGUUUUGCCGACAAGUUUUUGGAGCAAAGGAACCUCCACAAAUCUACAAGUGCAAAUCUUACUAUGACAAAGUUCACAAUAUAUCGACAGGUCUUCCGCUAGCCAUCAUUGUGCUUGCUGGAGUAUUACGAUCAAAGUUGAUUCCCAUGGAGUGGGAUGAUGUCCUUGGGCAACUCGAGACCAAUGGUCAACCCAAACCAGUUGGAAGCAUAUGGUCUUUAGCUUUUGAUGAUCUGCCACACCACCUAAAGUCAUGUUUCCUCUACUUUGCAUCCAUGUCAAAAAAUAUCAUUGUUUACCCAGAUCGUUUGGUGCGUCUGUGGAUCGCGGAGGGUUUUGUAGUGCCAAAGAAGGGAAAAACUCUGGAGGAAGUUGGAUUUGACUACCUGAAGGACCUGGUCUCAAGAGGGUUGGUCCAGGUGAUGGAGAAGGAUGCUGGAGGAGGGAUCAAGCUGGUAGCCAUCCACAAUCUACUCCAUGACUUUGUGGAGUCGGAAGCACAGGACUCUGGUUUCCUUGAAAUCCACCACCACGCCAAUGUCCUAAACCCAAAUGCAGUGCGCCGUCUUGCUGUACACAACUACAUGGAGUCAUUUGUCAGUAUACCUAAUGAAUUCCCUAAGCUGCGUUCUCUCCUCUAUGAUUUUGCAGAAGACCAACGUAGCAGCUCAAUAUAUGAAACCCCUCAACCUCAGACACUAUGGGGAAACUUCGCUGAGCUGUGCUUGAGAGCAUGUGGAAUUUCUGAGAGUGUUGGACUAAAGACUAUUCAUGGGCUGCACUUCAUAGAGGGCUCCAGGUUCCUACGUGUCAUCGAUCUGAAUGGUCUGAAGAUCCAAAUGCUGCCAAAUGAGAUUGGAAGCAUAAUCCACUUAAGGUACCUUGGCAUUAGAAACAGCAACUUGGAGGAGCUCCCUUCAUCCAUUUCAAAGCUGGACAAUCUCCAGACAUUAGAUGUAAGGAGAACAAACGUGAGAAGAGUCGAUGAUGGAUUUUGGGAAAUUGAAACUCUGAGGCAUGUGCUUGCUGAGAAAAUUUCAUUGCCCAAUUGCACAGUCUCCUUAAACAAUUUGAUGACUCUCGAUGGUGUGGAGCCUUCAAAUCCAUGGCAUGGGCAAAUAUGUCCCUUGAACUACAUGAUUUGUCUCCGGUCUCUGUCUUUGUCUGGCCUUUCAGAAACCCAUACUAAAGCGCUUUCAGCUGCUCUCAGGAAAAUGGAAUUCCUAGUUAACCUUAAGUUAUCUGGUGAAGUCCUUCCGUCUACAAUGUUCACCGACUCAAGCAUGCGCCACCUCCAGGUCCUAAUUCUACAUGGCAAGCUAGAAGACCUUCACACUUCACCUAGUGACCGACAUGUAAUGCAUUGUUGAGAUGGAACUUUUAUAUGGCUCAUAUAGUGGGACAACACUGAACUUUCUAUUCACUCGUGGGAUCCGGGCCCUUAAAAAGCUAAAGCUUCAAAAUCUUUGCACCCUGAAGCAGUUGGUAGUAAAGCCUGGAUCCAUGCCGAUGCUUUCGAUCCUAGCCAUGUAUGAUUGCAGCAGCUUGAAGGUUCUCAAUGGUUUGACUGCCUUGGAACACCUCCAAGAAUUAGCAGUCUACAACAUGGAAGCAAUCAUCGAAACUAUAAAACUUAUGGACAAGAAGCUUCUAGGCAAGAUCAAAUGCCUAACUACCCCAACCAAUGUAGACCGAGGGCGAGGAGUACUUGAGGGUUCCUGGCUCAGAAGGUUGGAGAGGCCAGCUCAUAGGCUAUGUGUCAACCCAGCUCCUGAACCAUUACGCAGUGCCUUGGGGAAUUUUGUUCCCGGUGCGGGGAAAGCAAUUGAUGACAUUCAGGUAGAUUACAGUUCUGGCGGUGCAUGGAUCAGGUCGUUGCAGGUGUACCUUAUUUACAGAUCUGUGAGGAAGAAGCAUGCCUUUAAUGUUGUUUGCUUGGUGAUUCCAUAUGGUGUUGUGCUUUCCAUGAGUGAAGAUCUUCUGGUUACUUAAUAUGCCGAUGAAGAUGGUUGGUGAUUAUGCUUGUAGGUUUUGUCA